rnacentral:rRNA from 1 species
CGGCAGGGGAGGGCAUGCUAUACAUGCAAGUCGAGCGGACAGAUGGGAGCUUGCUCCCUGAUGUUAGCGGCGGACGGGUGAGUAACACGUGGGUAACCUGCCUGUAAGACUGGGAUAACUCCGGGAAACCGGGGCUAAUACCGGAUGGUUGUUUGAACCGCAUGGUUCAAACAUAAAAGGUGGCUUCGGCUACCACUUACAGAUGGACCCGCGGCGCAUUAGCUAGUUGGUGAGGUAACGGCUCACCAAGGCAACGAUGCGUAGCCGACCUGAGAGGGUGAUCGGCCACACUGGGACUGAGACACGGCCCAGACUCCUACGGGAGGCAGCAGUAGGGAAUCUUCCGCAAUGGACGAAAGUCUGACGGAGCAACGCCGCGUGAGUGAUGAAGGUUUUCGGAUCGUAAAGCUCUGUUGUUAGGGAAGAACAAGUACCGUUCGAAUAGGGCGGUACCUUGACGGUACCUAACCAGAAAGCCACGGCUAACUACGUGCCAGCAGCCGCGGUAAUACGUAGGUGGCAAGCGUUGUCCGGAAUUAUUGGGCGUAAAGGGCUCGCAGGCGGUUUCUUAAGUCUGAUGUGAAAGCCCCCGGCUCAACCGGGGAGGGUCAUUGGAAACUGGGGAACUUGAGUGCAGAAGAGGAGAGUGGAAUUCCACGUGUAGCGGUGAAAUGCGUAGAGAUGUGGAGGAACACCAGUGGCGAAGGCGACUCUCUGGUCUGUAACUGACGCUAAGGAGCGAAAGCGUGGGGAGCGAACAGGAUUAGAUACCCUGGUAGUCCACGCCGUAAACGAUGAGUGCUAAGUGUUAGGGGGUUUCCGCCCCUUAGUGCUGCAGCUAACGCAUUAAGCACUCCGCCUGGGGAGUACGGUCGCAAGACUGAAACUCAAAGGAAUUGACGGGGGCCCGCACAAGCGGUGGAGCAUGUGGUUUAAUUCGAAGCAACGCGAAGAACCUUACCAGGUCUUGACAUCCUCUGACAAUCCUAGAGAUAGGACGUCCCCUUCGGGGGCAGAGUGACAGGUGGUGCAUGGUUGUCGUCAGCUCGUGUCGUGAGAUGUUGGGUUAAGUCCCGCAACGAGCGCAACCCUUGAUCUUAGUUGCCAGCAUUCAGUUGGGCACUCUAAGGUGACUGCCGGUGACAAACCGGAAGAAAGGUGGGGAUGACGUCCAAUCAUCAUGCCCCUUAUGACCGGGGCUAACCACGUGCUACAAUGGACCGAAACAAGGGGACGGAAACCCGCGGGGUUAACCCAUUCCCCAAAUUUUUUUCAAGUUUGGAAGCGACCCCCGGACUCCCCGCGGUGAAACUGGAAACCCUUUAAAUCCGGGAAAAAAUGGCCGCGGGU